UACGGAGGAGGCAAGCGUUGUCCGGAUUUAUUGGGCGUAAAGAGCGUGUAGGCGGCUAUACAGGUCCGUUGUGAAAACUCGAGGCUCAACCUCGAGACGCCGAUGGAAACCGUAUGGCUAGAGUCCGGAAGAGGAGAGCGGAAUUCCUGGUGUAGCGGUGAAAUGCGCAGAUAUCAGGAAGAACACCCGUGGCGAAGGCGGCUCUCUGGGACGGUACUGACGCUGAGACGCGAAAGCGUGGGGAGCAAACAGG
rnacentral:rRNA from 1 species